rnacentral:rRNA from 1 species
CAGCAGCCGCGGUAAUACAGAGGGUGCGAGCGUUAAUUGGAUUUACUGGGCGUAAAGCGUGCGUAGGCGGCUUCUUAAGUCGGAUGUGAAAUCCCUGAGCUUAACUUAGGAAUUGCAUUCGAUACUGGGAAGCUAGAGUAUGGGAGAGGAUGGUAGAAUUCCAGGUGUAGCGGUGAAAUGCGUAGAGAUCUGGAGGAAUACCGAUGGCGAAGGCAGCCAUCUGGCCUAAUACUGACGCUGAGGUACGAAAGCAUGGGGAGCAAACAGGAUUAGAGACCCCUGUAGUCCCUGUCUCUUAUAC